rnacentral:rRNA from 1 species
UACUUCUGGUGGCGACCGGCGCACGGGUGAGUAACACGUAUGCAACCUGCCUUCAACAAGGGCAUAACCCGUUGAAAGACGGACUAAUUCCCUAUGACACAGGGGUCCCGCAUGGGGAUAUUUGUUAAAGAUAUUAUCGGUUGAAGAUGGGCAUGCGUUCCAUUAGCUUGUUGGCGGGGUAACGGCCCACCAAGGCAACGAUGGAUAGGGGAACUGAGAGGUUUAUCCCCCACACUGGUACUGAGACACGGACCAGACUCCUACGGGAGGCAGCAGUGAGGAAUAUUGGUCAAUGGACGCAAGUCUGAACCAGCCACGUCGCGUGAAGGAAGACGGCCCUACGGGUUGUAAACUUCUUUUAUACGGGAAUAAAGUGCCCCACGCGUGGGGUUUUGCAAGUACCGUACGAAUAAGGAUCGGCUAACUCCGUGCCAGCAGCCGCGGUAAUACGGAGGAUCCGAGCGUUAUCCGGAUUUAUUGGGUUUAAAGGGUGCUCAGGCGGGGGAUUAAGUCGGCGGUGAAAUUUUGCAGCUCAACUGUAAAAGUGCCUUCGAAACUGGUUUCCUUGAGUGCGGAUGAGGUAGGCGGAAUUUGUGGUGUAGCGGUGAAAUGCAUAGAUAUCACGAGGAACUCCGAUUGCGCAGGCAGCUUACCAAGCCGUAACUGACGCUCAAGCACGA